rnacentral:antisense_RNA from 1 species
AAUAGCCGAAGAUAACCACAGGGUUGAUCGUUGGGUUGGUAAUGACACGAACAUCGCCACCACCAGGGGCCCAUGUGUCGUAUAGUCCACCAAAGAACAUCGCUUUGAAUACGAGCAACAAAGCACCGCAGCCCAAUAGGAUCAGGUGAUACCCAAUAAUAUUGGUCAUUUGGUUUUUGUCUUUCCA